AUGGCCUGGGCCCCUCUGCUCCUCACGCUGCUCACUUACUGCUCUGGUUCCCUCUCCCAGGUUACUCUGACUCAGCCGCCCCCAGUGUCAGUGUCCAUUGGCAACACAGUUAAACUCUCCUGUGCCCUUAGCAGUGGAUCCACAUUUGGAAGUGUCGCCAGGUACCAGCAGAAAGAUGGGAACAGCCCAAGAUACCUUCUGAGGUACAACACUGACUCUGACAAGUACCAAGGCUCUGGGGUCCCCAGUCAGUUUGUUGGUUCUAAAGACGCCUCUAAUACAACCGGCUACUUAACCAUCUCCGGGGUCCAGGCAGAGGACGAGGCUGAUUAUUACUGUGCUGGAGGUUUUGGCAGUGGUAGCACCUGGCAGUAA